UAUCUCUGUAGAGUCUGCAUAUCAAUAAGCGGAGGAAAAGAAACUAACUAAGGAUUCCCUCAGUAACGGCGAGUGGAGCGGGAGGAGCUCAAAUUUGGAAAUCUUCAAGUGUUCUACCUUUACGAAUUGUAGUUUAAAGAAGUGUUUUCUGUUGAGGCUUUGGUAAAAGGUUCUUUGGAAUAGGACAUCAUAGAGGGUGAGAAUCCCGUAUUUGACCAUUUACUUUCCAACUUUGUGAUACACUUUCAAAGAGUCGGAUUGCUUUGGGAAUGCAGUCCAAAAUGGGUGGUAAAUUUCAUCUAAAGCUAAAUAUUGGCGAGAGACCGAUAGCGAACAAGUACCGUGAGGGAAAGAUGAAAAGAACUUUGAAAAGAGAGUUAAACAGUACGUGAAAUUGUCAAAAGGGAAGCGUUUGACACCAGUGUUGUUUUCUCGAAAAUCAAUUAAAAAAAGUUGGAUUUUGUAUUGUUAAGACCUUAUCAGCUUACUGUACUCUUUUCUUGCUUUUUUUAAUGCACUUUUCGUUUAACAUGUCAACAUCAAUUUCUUUUGUUGUAAAAGAGUCAUUGGAAGGUGGCUUUCACUUCGGUGAAAGUGUUUAUAGCCUUUGGCUUCUGCAAUCGGAGAGAUUGAGGUCUGCAGCGUAGAUCCUUCGGGGCUAGAUACGUAGAUGCUAAGUUAUAGUUUUUUAUAGACAACUUGUUGACUAUAAUUAAUCAUGUAGCUUACUCGUUUAGCGCUAUUUUACCUACGCUUAGGAUGUUGACGAUCAGCUGAGCGCG
rnacentral:rRNA from 1 species